rnacentral:lncRNA from 1 species
AUGGGAACUGCAGAUGCUGCCUCCAGUAGAAAACUCAAAACAGGAGGAGUAGAGAAAACGCAAAGUCAUUCCUGCCUACAGACUGCUCAAGUUACUCUAGUCAAUUUCCUCAGGCCCCUCUGUAAAGAAGGGCUACAAGAGACAUGCCAAGUGUGGGGGCAACAAGCAAAGCCUGAGGAAGCUUCUUCUUUAUUCUACUCUUUCCAGCUACAAACAUUACCCCCAAACCUGUCAUGUUGUAGCUGAAGAAAAAGCAGUAGAAAAUUUCACAUUUUUUCUAAUAAAUAUAUUAUAUAUUAAAAAUAAAUAAAUAUAUAUAUAUAAAUUAAAUACUGCCAAUUAAAGCAUAACCACCACUUGUUAAGUACCUGACAGAACUUCCAAGCAUGUGAUAAUCAAAGUCAGACUAUAUCAAAAUGUAAUACGAAAUUUAAAACAAUGAGUAGAUCUUACUGUACGUGCUAUGUAUUGAAUAUAUCUUUCUUUUGUUAUAUUCUGUAGGCUUCCUAGAACAAAAUUUGACAUUUGGGGUAUGAAUUUCACUGGAAUAAAAAUGAGAGGGUAUGAACUAUAUUUUCAGGUAAACUCCUUUUGUUCACUCAAUAAGUACUGGUAGGAUCCAUAGCUCUUGUAUUAAGUCUCCUGCUGAAUGCCCUCCCCUGACAGAAUUUGAUGCCAAAGUGCUGACUACUGGAAAAAUCUAUUAACUGGCAGGCUAUCAUUAAACUUUCCUGCUGAUAUCUUCAAUCAGGAAACAUUUACUGGAACAAGAUCUGGAACUUGGGCAUUUCAUACCCCCGGUGAGAGUGUGAACUAUCAAGAAAACAACACUUCAGUAGAAUAUAAUGUCAGUCUAAGCAAACUUGCUUCCAGAAGAAAGCUUGGAAGCACACAUUCAUUUAGUUUGUCUUCAUUCAUCCGUGGCUCUGACAAGUUAAUAUAAAGAAAUAAGCACUGGGAUAAGCAAAACUAUAAACAAGUUCAGGCUGAAGUCAGCAAAAAAGAAAUCCUCUGGAAAGCAUCAAAGUAUUUUAUUUAUUUUAUUUCCAUUUUUUCAAAGAGAAAAGGCUAUGUGUUUUUGAAAAGUCAUUAUAUGGGCUCCUCUAAAACACCCAAUCUAAAAUUGAUAAUUUGAGAUUAUUUUUCAGUUCAUUUAAAAUUUUAAGAUUGCUUUUUCUGCGUAGGAUGCUUCCUUUGAACUAAUAUUCUGUGUCAUGUUGUGCUUUACAUAUUUUUGCAACUACGGAAUAGUUCAAGUGAAGUCAUGUUCAUCUAAUGAAGAUGAUUUCAGCAAAUGAGACAAUGUGUAUUGCAAUACAAUACAAUUCAGUUCUGUAGUUGUUUUGUGUGUGUGUGUAUGUCAAAUGUCAUUUUUACUGCAAUACAGUCAGGUUAUUUUCUUCAGCAGUUUUAUAUCAAGUACUGCAAGCCAUCUGGGGAAGCCAAAGACAGAGUCCUUCUCCAUAUCCAUUCCAUCUUUCCUUAGCCUUUCUUGACCAUUACUUCACAGCCUCAUCUGAUAUGCGAUACUGCUCCACUGCCAUUUUAUCUGCUCAUCUGCUGAUUGCUUUCCUGACACUUUGCCCUCCUGUAAUACUUGCUCUGAUUGUCAUCCAAUCUCUUACUGAAAUAGACUAUGAGUUUUCAUUUCCGUCACUCAGAUGUGUGUUUUGAAUGCUUUCUGCACACCAGCUCUUAAAGUAUCUACCCACUAGCAGUUUCAAGCACUGGCUAUUACAGGGGCAUAGGCUUAAAAACAAAGAUGAUUAUCUGAGCACAGUCUUUUUUUCAGUCAUGUAAGCUGUGGACCAAAGUAAGAACAUGUUUUUGGUAGAGCCUGUUCAUAUGGAUCCUAUACUGACUUUACAGCCAAAUCACAAUAAAUAAAUAAACUGGAGGGUUGCAUUUUAAAAAGAAUAUGAAUUCUUAAUGCUAGGCAAAUACCACACGCAAAUUGUGGUGAGUUUUCAUUUAAAUCUGCAAUUAAUUGAUUUUGAAGUGUUCAUAUCAUUUUUUCUUUCUGAAAGUGUUAAUGUGAAUAGAUUCGGAUAAAUUAAUUUCAUAGUAUGCAGAAUUGUGAGAAGUGUUGCAAAUUAUCAAGUUGCAAUAUUUAUAUUUUGCUUACUUGAACGAACAUACAGUCGAAGAAAUAAAAACUCUGACAAUGACUGAUUCAAUCAAGCAAAAACCAGCAAAUUCCUGAAAAAUUAUAAAAAACCUGCUCAUGUCUUCAGACAUACUAUUAUUAGGCUCUAGUACAUCUAAUUGCAAUAAACAACAAAAUAUGUAAAAACUGCACAGAAAAUGUUUUUCUUUAAAACUUACUUUAAAAACCCUUACCUAAAACUGGGCCACGCAGAAAAUCAGAUGGUCUCUUCUCUGAAAUCUGUUAAUAAAAUAAAGAAAUGAAAAUGAAUGAGCACAGAGGAAGCUGAGGUGCACCUUAGAUCUUCCAAA